AAGACUAUAGACCUGCGGAGUACCUGCGGAAGGAUCAUUAUCGAGUACCGGGGUUUCUUCUUCAAGAGCCCUUACUCCCACACCAUGUGUACGCACCUCUCGUUGCUUUGGCGGGCCGCGCUCGAAAGGGCGCGCCGGCUUUCCGGCCGGACAGCGCCCGCCAGAGGAUCAAUUUACAAAACUCUUGUUUUUUUUCAGUGAAGUCUGAGUUAAACUUGUUAAUUAAGUUAAAACUUUCAA
rnacentral:misc_RNA from 1 species